CAGAGGGGGCAAGCGUUGUUCGGAAUUACUGGGCGUAAAGGGCGCGUAGGCGGCCUUCUAAGUCGAACGUGAAAUCCCCGGGCUCAACCCGGGAACUGCGUCCGAUACUGGAAGGCUUGAAUCCGGGAGAGGGAUGUGGAAUUCCAGGUGUAGCGGUGAAAUGCGUAGAUAUCUGGAGGAACACCGGUGGCGAAGGCGACAUCCUGGACCGGUAUUGACGCUGAGGCGCGAAAGCCAGGGGAGCAAACGGGAUUAGAUACCCCGGUAGUCCUGGCCCUAAACGAUGAAUGCUUGGUGUGGCGGGUAUCGAUCCCUGCCGUGCCGAAGCUAACGCAUUAAGCAUUCCGCCUGGGGAGUACGGUCGCAAGGCUG
rnacentral:rRNA from 1 species